CGUAGGUGGCGAGCGUUGUCCGGAAUUACUGGGUGUAAAGGGCGCGUAGGCGGGAAUGCAAGUCAGAUGUGAAAUACCAAGGCUUAACCUUGGAACUGCAUCUGAAACUGUGUUUCUUGAGUGUCGGAGAGGAAAGCGGAAUUCCCCGUGUAGCGGUGAAAUGCGUAGAUAUGGGGAGGAACACCGGUGGCGAAGGCGGCUUUCUGGACGAUAACUGACGCUGAGGCGCGAAAGCGUGGGUAGCAAACAGGAUUAGAUACCCUGGUAGUCCACGCUGUAAACGAUGGAUACUAGGUGUAGGAGGUAUCGACCCCUUCUGUGCCGCAGUUAACACAAUAAGUAUCCCACCUGGGGAGUACGGCCGCAAGGCUG
rnacentral:rRNA from 1 species